ensembl:lincRNA 4930503O07Rik RIKEN cDNA 4930503O07 gene
AGCCGGCCAUGUAAGGAGCUACCCUCAGUCUACCCUCAGGGAGAUUCCCAUAUCAACUAUGGCAUCUUGGGCAGUCACAUCCUGUAUGCUCAUAGGAUCUGCAUCACAGAGGUACAUGGAGUCAUCAGAUACACAGGAUGAGAACUACCUGUGAGGGCUUUUGUUAGGACCUUCCAGUCAGUCCAUUUAUUUGUUCUAUUUCACUUGAUCUUCAGUUGCACUUCCUGCACUCUCAGAUGAACCCUAAGGUGGCAUUUUUCGCAGAGAGAACAACUGUGAUAAAAGUCCAUCUGUGACCUAAGAGAAGCACCGAGAACAGCAAGGAGGUAGGAACAUCAAAACCUGUACUUGUCCAAUUUUGAGACACAGAGGCUGAAACUGUGACAGUGGUCACCAUGCAGCAGGUGACCAGCUCAGUUCUCAGGUCAUCAAGAAAAUGAAGACAUUGCAGCCAGGUUCCUAACUUUGGCCUAAGUAUGAGUCACUAAAGGCACCUUGGUCAAGUUUCUAGUAUUGCCUUUGUGAUUAAAGUCAAGCCAUUUUAUGGCAAAUAAAGUCAGUAUCUGAAACCACU